rnacentral:lncRNA from 1 species
GCAGCAGCCGCUGCUCGUGGGGCUCCCCGGAGGCUCCUGCUGGCCCUGGUCCAGCCCUGGACCAGUGCGUGGGCGACGGCUGCGUGCACCUAUGCGGGACUGCAGUAGGGCCUGGGAGAGUGGCCCUCCGACGUGGUGCAGCUCUUUUUACCAGCAAAGGGAAGUGUAAGCGUUUCUCUUCUGUUGCAGUUUGCUGCAGGGCCGGGCUCGUACGAUCCAAAGGCCAUUGAGAGGUCAGAAUACUUCAACCAACCCCCAUUUUGGUCGUCUGCCAAGAGAUUUGAUAGAAAGUCCUGCCGCCUCUUUGCUGGGAAUGAGAAUCCUGUAGGUGCUGGUCGCUACAACAUCACCAGACACGAGAAAUAUCCUUGCAAGAUCAGGUACCAGUCCCUGUACCAGUGUGAAACACGGCGGUACCUGAGUAACCUGGAGCGGGAUGCCUACUUGCUGUAAGUCUGGUGUACAACGGCUGCUCCGAGGGGUUUCAUAUUGGCUUACAGGAAGAGCAUUCGCCCUGAGCAGGUCUCAGGAGACCGAGUGCAUGAUACUGAAACUUUACAACUGAAGCGAGAGGCUAAAGAGCAGAGGAACGAUCAUGUUAGAGCACUGGAUUGGGACUGAGCAAUGCUUGCCAGCACCACCACAGGUUCCCUCUGGGAAUAGGCAAUUUAGCUGUCUGCUGCCCCCCCAGGAAAGCGAGGAGACGUGAGUGCUUCCCCACCAGGUAAGGGGGUUGGAUUACUGGCUAUCAAGGCACUUUACAGGUACUAAGGUGGCAGUGCUCUCACCUUAUGGGAUGCACUCUGCACGCAGUGGAGCUGCAAAAAGUUUUCAUUUGCGUUAGAGGCAGCAGCCUGCAAGAGGACAGGACGCUGUGUUGGUAAGCAGGCUGUCUGGGCUGCGUUCCCGGCGCUGGCACUGGAUUGCUCAGCAGCCUCCAAUGAAAAUCACUUUUGCAUACUGUGCCUUAGUUUACCUAUUUGGAGAAGGAAGAGGGCAAUGGCAGCGAGCCUUGUUAGGGGCUUUGAAAUUGCCAGGAUGAAAGCCCUGUGAAGCCGUUAGGAACUAUACUAAUGUGAGACCUCGGGAUAGCCCUCUGCUUUCACCUUUGCUUGCGCCCGAG